rnacentral:rRNA from 1 species
GAUGAACGCUGGCGGCGUGCCUAAUACAUGCCAGUCGAGCGAACGGACGAGAAGCUUGCUUCUCUGAUGUUAGCGGCGGACGGGUGAGUAACACGUGGAUAACCUACCUAUAAGACUGGGAUAACUUCGGGAAACCGGAGCUAAUACCGGAUAAUAUUUUGAACCGCAUGGUUCAAAAGUGAAAGACGGUCUUGCUGUCACUUAUAGAUGGAUCCGCGCUGCAUUAGCUAGUUGGUAAGGUAACGGCUUACCAAGGCAACGAUGCAUAGCCGACCUGAGAGGGUGAUCGGCCACACUGGAACUGAGACACGGUCCAGACUCCUACGGGAGGCAGCAGUAGGGAAUCUUCCGCAAUGGGCGAAAGCCUGACGGAGCAACGCCGCGUGAGUUAUGAAGGUCUUCGGAUCGUAAAACUCUGUUAUUAGGGAAGAACAUAUGUGUAAGUAACUGUGCACAUCUUGACGGUACCUAAUCAGAAAGCCACGGCUAACUACGUG